CAGCCGCCGCGGUAAUACGUAGGUGGCAAGCGUUGUCCGGAAUUAUUGGGCGUAAAGCGCGCGCAGGCGGAUAGGUCAGUCUGUCUUAAAAGUUCGGGGCUUAACCCCGUGAUGAGAUGGAAACUGCCAAUCUAGAGUAUCGGAGAGGAAAGUGGAAUUCCUAGUGUAGCGGUGAAAUGCGUAGAUAUUAGGAAGAACACCAGUGGCGAAGGCGACUUUCUGGACGAAAACUGACGCUGAGGCGCGAAAGCCAGGGGAGCGAACGGGAUUAGAUACCCCCGUAGUCCCUGUCUCUUAUACA
rnacentral:rRNA from 1 species